AUGUCGGAGUUCAGAAUGAUGUAUGUGAUCUUUGUGCUGUUUUUGGGGUGCAUUUCCACAUGGGGAUGUGAUCUCACUUCAUCUUCCUCUGCGUGUGGUGGACGCCAUGGCGAGCUCGCCGGAUCCCUACACAAAAAUGUAGCAGUUCAAAAGAAAUUAGGAUACAAGUUCAAGGGCCAUGGUGAGUUAGAAUUUUGUGUUAGGUUUCUGUUCAUUUUCAACCUAGCGUGCCUUCUUGCCACAUCUAACAGAAGAUUCCAAUUUUCUGAACAUGUAGCAUUUGUUUCCUGGGAGGUUGUCAGAUUUCAUUAA
rnacentral:rRNA from 1 species